rnacentral:rRNA from 1 species
CUUGGUCAUUUAGAGGAAGUAAAAGUCGUAACAAGGUUUCCGUAGGUGAACCUGCGGAAGGAUCAUUAAAAGAAAUUGGUUAUACAUUUCAUGUAUCAACUGUUUAAACCCAUUCUGUGUACCUUGCCUGUUGCUUCCAUGGAGCCUGACUUUGGUCACUCUUGUGAUGUAAAUCCCAAGGGGAGUCCCCAUGGAAGGUCAUCAAUAAAACUCAUGUAUCCAAUGUCUUCUGUCUGAACUGUUUAUAACAAUUGUUAAAACUUCCAACAACGGAUCUCUUGGUUCUCGCAUCGAUGAAGAACGCAGCGAAAUGCGAUAAGUAGUGUGAAUUGCAGAAUUCAGUGAAUCAUCGAAUCUUUGAACGCACAUUGCGCCUCCUGGUAUUCCGGGAGGCAUGCCUGUUCGAGCGUCAUUAAAUACCUCUCAAGCACCAUUGCCUGGUCAUGGAAGAUGAGUAUGCUUGCAUUCUCCCUUCUGAAAUUCAAAGGCGGAUCAUCUCAUAUUCCCUGGCGUAGUAAGUGUUUAUCUUUCGCUUGGAGUGUCUGACAGUCUUGCCAUCGACCCCCAUUAUUUCAAGGUUGACCUCGGAUCGGGUAGGGAUACCCGCUGAACUUAAGCAUAUCAAUAAGCGGAGGA